rnacentral:rRNA from 1 species
UGCUGAUCGACUACGCCGACUGCUGUUCGCGGACAAAUAAUGAAGUUGAUGUUUUUUACGUAUAUGUCUUGACCAAGUCUCGUGCCAGCAGUCGCGGUAAUACGUGGAAGACUAGUGUUAUUCAUCUUUAUUAGGUUUAAAGGGUACCUAGACGGUAUUUCUAGCCCAAAAUAGGGUACGGAUUUACUAGAGUUUUAUGUGAGGAGGGGAGUACUCAUAGAGUAGAGAUGAAAUUUUGUUAUACUAUGAGGUAACUGGUGGCGGCGAAAGCAACCUUCUAUGUAUAAACUGACGUUGAGGGACGAAGGCUUGGGUAGCAAAUAGGAUUAGAUACCCUAGUAGUCCAAGCAGACAAUUCUGAAUGCCAUAGAUUAGAUUAUUUUUGGUCUAUAAAUGAAAGUGUAAGCAUUCCACCUUAGGAGUAAUGUGGCAACACAGGAACUGAAAUCAUUAGACCGUUUCUGAAACCAGUAGUGAAGUAUGUUAUUUAAAUUGAUGGUCCACAAAAAACCUUACCACAACUUGAAUAUUUUUAAUUAAUACAAGCGUUGCACGGCUGUCUUCAGUUAAUGUCGUGAGAUUUUGGUUAACUCCAUUAAUUAACGUAAACCCUUACUUUAU